rnacentral:piRNA from 1 species
UCCAUUCCAGCUUCUGUGCUUGACCAUCUGU